CCCUGCUCACAUGCAGAGUCUCUGUCUCAAAUAACAGAAGAUAUCAGGAUAAACAGGAAAUACAAAUCAUUCAUUCUGAAGACGAUCACUGCAGUGUCAGUAUCAACUCAUUCUAGACUCCCCUCCUGCAGAGUUUAAUUCCAAUUUAGCUAAUCAAGUAUUCAUGUAGAAUUGAAAAUUCCAUCAGGUGUUGAAGCUUAACUCAGGAUGGCAGGUGGUGGCUUCUGCGGCAGAACCUCCUGAGGUGGCUUCUGCUCAUGAACUCUCUGCUUGUCCUGUCAUGGCCAAGGAGGCCAUCCAUGAACUCAUAUCCCGCCUGAUUCACCGUGGUAAUUCCCUGAGCCAUCAUCUCCACUGAACUGGUCAUCUGCUCCACCGUGGAGAUCUUCGGCCCGGUACUGUGGGUGUCUUCAGUACCGCCGGCUAAGCCCUGGCUUCCUGCUCCACCAGUUGUGACCUGUUGGUCAUCAGUUCUGCUGGCUCCGCCCUGGCUUCCUGCUCCACCUUGGAUCUGACCUGGUGGUCUCCUGGUCCACUGCUGUAUGGUCUGCCUCUGCUUCUUGGCACAGGUCCUCCACUGUUCCAUGGUCUGCCAGUGAUCCCUGGUCCAGGCCCACCACUGCUUCAAGCCUGUCUCUACUCUAUGAUCCUGGUCUGGCUCCCUUCCACGGGCCUGGCCCCCCUCCUUCCCCCUGGAUCAUCACUGCUUUGCCACCCUCCUGGAAAUUU